ACCCAGAUAAAAUGGCACACGUUUAGCGUUAUGCUAACCUCACCCAGAUAAAAUGGCACACGUUUAGCGUUAUGCUAACCUCACCCAGAUAAAAUGGCACACGUUUAGCCCUAUGCUAACCUCACCCAGAUAAAAUGGCACACGUUUAGCCCUAUGCUAACCUCACCCAGAUAAAAUGGCACACGUUUAGCCAUAUGCUAACCUCACCCAGAUAAAAUGGCACACGUUUAGCCCUAUGCUAACCUCACCCAGAUAAAAUGGCACACGUUUAGCCCUAUGCUAACAUCACCCAGAUAAAAUGGCACACGUUUAGCCUUAUGCUAACCUCACCCAGAUAAAAUGGCACACGUUUAGCGUUAUGCUAACCUCACCCAGAUAAAAUGGCACACGUUUAGCCUUAUGCUAACCUCACCCAGAUAAAAUGGCACACGUUUAGCCUUAUGCUAACCUCACCCAGAUAAAAUGGCACACGUUUAGCCUUAUGCUAAACUCACCCAGAUAAAAUGGCACAGGUUUAGCCCUAUGCUAACCUCACCCAGAUAAAACGGCACACGUUUAGCCCUAUGCUAACCUCACCCAGAUAAAAUGGCACACGUUUAGCCCUAUGCUAACCUCACCCAGAUAAAAUGGCACACGUUUAGCCCUAUGCUAACCUCACCCAGAUAAAAUGGCACACGUUUAGCCUUAUGCUAACCUCACCCAGAUAAAAUGGCACACGUUUAGCCCUAUGCUAACCUCACCCAGAUAAAAUGGCACACGUUUAGCCAUAUGCUAACCUCACCCAGAUAAAAUGGCACACGUUUAGCCCUAUGCUAACCUCACCCAGAUAAAAUGGCACACGUUUAGCCCUAUGCUAACAUCACCCAGAUAAAAUGGCACACGUUUAGCCUUAUGCUAACCUCACCCAGAUAAAAUGGCACACGUUUAGCGUUAUGCUAACCUCACCCAGAUAAAAUGGCACACGUUUAGCCUUAUGCUAACCUCACCCAGAUAAAAUGGCACACGUUUAGCCUUAUGCUAACCUCACCCAGAUAAAAUGGCACACGUUUAGCCUUAUGCUAAACUCACCCAGAUAAAAUGGCACAGGUUUAGCCCUAUGCUAACCUCACCCAGAUAAAACGGCACACGUUUAGCCCUAUGCUAACCUCACCCAGAUAAAAUGGCACACGUUUAGCCCUAUGCUAACCUCACCCAGAUAAAAUGGCACACGUUUAGCCCUAUGCUAACCUCACCCAGAUAAAAUGGCACACGUUUAGCCUUAUGCUAACCUCACCCAGAUAAAAUGGCACACGUUUAGCCCUAUGCUAACAUCACCCAGAUAAAAUGGCACACGUUUAGCCUUAUGCUAACCUCACCCAGAUAAAAUGGCACAUGUUUAGCCCUAUGCUAACCUCACCCAGAUAAAAUGGCACAUGUUUAGCCCUAUGCUAACCUCACCCAGAUAAAAUGGCACAGGUUUAGCCCUAUGCUAACCUCACCCAGAUAAAAUGGCACACGUUUAGCCUUAUGCUAACCUCACCCAGAUAAAAUGGCACACGUUUAGCCCUAUGCUAACAUCACCCAGAUAAAAUGGCACACGUUUAGCCUUAUGCUAACCUCACCCAGAUAAAAUGGCACAUGUUUAGCCCUAUGCUAACCUCACCCAGAUAAAAUGGCACAGGUUUAGCCCUAUGCUAACCUCACCCAGAUAAAAUGGCACACGUUUAGCCCUAUGCUAACAUCACCCAGAUAAAAUGGCACACGUUUAGCCUUAUGCUAACCUCACCCAGAUAAAAUGGCACAUGUUUAGCCCUAUGCUAACCUCACCCAGAUAAAAUGGCACAGGUUUAGCCCUAUGCUAACCUCACCCAGAUAAAAUGGCACACGUUUAGCCUUAUGCUAACCUCACCCAGAUAAAAUGGCACACGUUUAGCCCUAUGCUAACCUCACCCAGAUAAAAUGGCACAGGUUUAGCCCUAUGCUAACCUCACCCAGAUAAAAUGGCACACGUUUAGCCCUAUGCUAACCUCACCCAGAUAAAAUGGCACACGUUUAGCCUUAUGCUAACCUCACCCAGAUAAAAUGGCACACGUUUAGCCCUAUGCUAACAUCACCCAGAUAAAAUGGCACACGUUUAGCCUUAUGCUAACCUCACCCAGAUAAAAUGGCACAUGUUUAGCCCUAUGCUAACCUCACCCAGAUAAAAUGGCACAUGUUUAGCCUUAUGCUAACCUCACCCAGAUAAAAUGGUACACGUUUAGCCCUAUGCUAACCUCACCCAGAUAAAAUGGCACACGUUUAGCCCUAUGCUAACCUCACCCAGAUAAAAUGGCACAUGUUUAGCCUUAUGCGACCGUGUCGGCGUGCACUGCGCCCGGCCAGCCACAGGAGUCGCUAGUGCGCGAUGAGACAAGGAUAUCCCUGCCGGCCAAACCCUCCCCUAACCUGGACGACGCUGGGCCAAUCGUGCGUGGCCCCAUGGGCCUCCCGGUCGCGGCCCGGCUGCGACAGAGCCUGGACUCGAACCCAGAAUCUCUAGUGGCACUGCUAGCACUGCGAUGCAGCACCUUAGAGAGCACUGAGCCACUCGGGAGGCAUCUGCUUUGUCACUUAAGGCUAUAUGUUAUUUGACUCGAGGAGGAUGACCGUGCCCAUGUGUACAGUGGGAUUGAUUAUAGGUUGCACUCUCGUUAUCAUCCUACAGAUGGCAGUAUUGAAGUUAUUUUUUAAAUACGUUUUAUUUGCGAGUCCGAGGGACUGGAACAGACGGUCUUAAUGGAGCCGACUCUGUAAAUCUAUCUGAUGGGGAAUUAGUUCUAUUUGACAAAGUCAUCUCAACUCUCUGAUUAGCCUUUUCUGUAGGCCAGCUACUAUAGGAUCUCCAAUCAACGGAGCUACAUUCAUUCACAUCAAAUAGCGGUUUCCUUAUGUUAUAACCUGCUAAUGAAUAUGGGGAAUUAUAAUGGUACACCUCAAUUCAUAAUGGACCUCGUUAACCACCGCGGUCCUAUUCCAUAUGUACUGUAGCCUCGGCUUCCAGGCGGCCGAGGCGAACGCAUGGUGGAGCCUACCCAGGGAGUGAAUACGCCCUCUCCUGGCUAAGAGACGUUAGUGUAGGCUAUCAUCAGUAAGAUGUAUUCUUGUGUAGGCUACACUUACAUGCAGGCCUACAGCGUUUUACAAGCUAUGCGUUAUUAUAUACAUGGACUUCGUGACAUGCGUUUUGAAUUGAGCGUCAAAGACCGGGAGUGAACAGUUUUUUUUUCUCUCCCCUCAACAGAAAAGGCUUGAUGUGAACCCAUGAUUAAAAUGCACUAUUGAUUUCAAGUCAACCACUUUAGCAGUGUGCCACUUAGAAACAAUGGUAAUAGCAGUAGCCUACAAGACUGCUAUUUAACUAUUAUUUUAUUUAAACAUGGGAUUUUUGUCAUGUAUUUGAAAACGUGAAACUGUUGUUAGCUCGUAGCUAGUAGCCUAGUCAAGGAUACAUCAGGAUACAUUGGCUCUCCACAUUGUGUUACAGAUCAAUGGAGAGAAAAAAAAGUAAACCUUAAAUUUGUAGGUUUAAAAUAUCUCCCUGGUGACCAGGGUUGACUUGUUUUAAGAAAUGCCAUCGAUUGGUGGAUAUAAAGUCUAAGAUGUUUGAUAGGCUGACGAAGCAUUUGUUCUUGGAUGUGAUCAUUGCCACCUACCUGGGAGGUUAGCAUAAGGCUAACGUGUGGCAUGUUAUCCGAUGGGACCAACUACUAUUUAGCGUUGUCACAUGCAGGUCAAUCGACAAUAUUAAUUGGCCGAUACACAUUUUGAGCCGGAGAAACUGUUUAAAUUUGAAUGGUUGCUUAUGUUCGUAAUUAUCGCCCCCUUGUAUGCUAUGUUUAUCUCACUCGAGUUGUGUUCUGAUUAUGAGGGGGGUCCUUGAUGAAAAAAGGAGUCCCCUGCCCCACAAUUAUUUUUUGAGAACCCCUGCCCAAUUUUAGUGCACAACUUUUCUGGUCAAGAGUAGAGCACCAUAUAUGGAAUAGGUUGCCAUUUGGGGCGUAGACACAGCCUCACCUGGACAGGCAGGUGACCAAGACGAUGUAGACACAGCCUCACCUGGACAGGCAGGUUACCAAGACGAUGUAGACACAGCCUCACUUGGACAGGCAGGUGACCAAGACAAUGUAGACACAGCCUCACCUGGACAGGCAGGUGACCAAGACGAUGUAGACACAGCCUCACCUGGACAGGCAGGUGACCAAGACGAUGUAGACACAGCCUCACCUGGACAGGCAGGUGACCAAGACGAUGUAGACACAGCCUCACCUGGACAGGCAGGUGACCAAGACCUGUAUAACUCAUAACACAAACACAUGCUUUUGGUUCGGGAACCGGACCCAUAGGAACAACCACACCUGUAUGUGUACCUGUACAGCCAUACCAGCAUGCUCUAUAACUGGGCUUGGCAACAGGAGGCCUAACAGGCAGCUUUUAUAAAGACUGUUAAAAAUCACCAGGAAUUCAGCUAAAAUUGGUUUAAUUUAGUAAAUAUGUUCAAUUAAUUUUGGGCUUAGUUCAAUCCGAGCAAACCGACACAGCUGAUGUUUUGACCUUUUGUCGGGAGGUGGAACUACAUUGGAGAGGUCAAACAUUUCUGUCACCUUAAUGGAGGUGUAGAUUUACAUCUCACACUCCAGUGUUCCGACAUGUAAACAAAUCUGCAUUGGGAUUUCUCUUAAUUAAUGCGACGCCGUGCGACCGAUGGCAACGGUCGCUUUAGGUUACAGUCAGGGACUGCGGUUUAAAAUUAUCCCGCUGGCUAAAACCGGCACUUUUACUGAAACGUUGAUUAAUGUGCACUGUCCCUGUAAAAAUAAAAUGAACUCAAACUCAAACAAUGCCAGGAUCCCCUUGUGGAUUUCACGUCUCUAACGCAGUUCCACCUACGAUACCGCCAAAAUGUAAAUAUUAGUAUAGAGUUAUGUUCUGACCCCCCUCCCCGACCAUCUGCGCUGACAUAAAUCGGGCCUGCGUCUGAAUGUAGGCGCAUCUUGUUGUUUUAUAGGAUCACGGGACACUGCUUCCACUACAGAUUAUGUUCCCUCACUUUGCUUAAUUAAAAAAGGGAUUGUUAUUUAAAUAAACACAUUCUGUGAAUGUCUGGAAGAACAAAUGGAUUUGUUUAUUUUUUAUUUUUUUGUCGAUAAAGUUUGACAAGUUUUGUAUGUUGUCAAUGUUUUAGUGAACGUGCAGUACAUCGAGAAAGUUAUUUUGAAUGGAAAUGGAUGUUUUUAAAAGAAGGAAAAUGUUUUUGUUUUUUUAAACUCUUAUUUAAUAUAUUUAUAGCUGUUUAUAACUGCUAGGAAUUGUAGCAUGUAUGAAUACCUGGUUGUAUGUCAUGUGUAUCAUCUGUGUAUACUGGUGAAUCCCUGGUCUAUUAUAAUAUAUCAAUAUUUUUUCGUA